GUGCUUUGAUUUUCUCAAGUUACUCUUUGUCUCAAGACACACACACACACAAACACAGCCUACAAGACUACAUGGAACCCAGGAAUCAUGGCACUUCCAGUUUUGAGGAACCCCUCAACAUUCGCCAUGAGACUCUUGACACAUCUCUCCAUGUGUGUCCUCAAGGGGGCUAGUGUUAUAGGUGACAGCCCUGUAGUGGUCCUACUUCUCAGCAAGCCAAGCUCUAUGAUUUCUCCUUAUUCUUGAACGUAUCUUCUGAAGGAAAACCACUCCUUGACCUUGGGUACUCUCCAGUGCGCCUCUUUGCAGCCUAGAGAGGUUCACGUAUAAAGGUAUCCCACAGUUCUACAGGUUCCUUAAGGGUAGUGAGCAUAUGGAACCAUUUUGAGACGACACUGCAUACUCACAAGCAAAUGCAAAGUCUCAGUUUCUCAAGAUGAAUACAGUAUGAAUACAUUUUCAGAUUUUUCGUGACCUGGUCUGAGUAAAGCAUCAUUAAGCCUAUGAUCAGUUGCAAAGAACUCUGUACUCCAGAAAACCCUCCCUACUUUUCUGAGCCCCUACGAUAGUGUGAUCAAGACUCCAUAGGGCUCAAUGCUCCAUCGCUCUCGGGGGUCAAGAUUCGAAUCCUGAGCGGAUUGUACGUAAGGAAAACUAUUUUUCCCGAGUAUAUAAAUCAAUUAUCUUUAGACUUCUGGAAGUGGAAAAAAAAAAAACUGAGCCCUGAACAUUAUUAUCAAGAUCAAAACGCGAUUAAAGACUCAAUAGGCCGUCCUUUAGUCAUGAGAUACGUACCCUAUGAUUCGAUGCUAGAAUGUCCGGCUCCUGUCUCAGGGGCCCGGGUUCGAAGUCUGAGUGGAUUGUUAGAAUAAAGAUUUUUCUCAAGCAGGUAAAUUUCUUAUGUACCUCGAGAAUCGGAAAUACCCUUCCCCCUCCCCUAGACAAUGCGCUCAUCAUGCACCUUGCGCGCGCGCGCCCUCACACACACACACACACACACACGUAAACUAGAAAGAUUACAAAGAUGGUCGUCCCAGUUAAGUCUGACAGGUUUACACGUUUGAGGAAAGAUUAAAGAAAAUUGAUCUUCCAACGCUAGAAGAGAAAGGAGAAAGAAGUCUUGAUAACGAUAUGGAAGAAAUAGAAAGAAGAUGCAUGAAUGUGUAGUCGGAGAGAGGACAGGACAAGUAGGGUGGAUAAAAAAAACAAAGUAAAAAAAAACAGACGGAAUAUGUAAAGCUGAUUUUUAUAUAAGAUGAAGGGAUUUCGGCAUACAUAAUUAAUAUUUACAUGUACACUCAGUGAAGGGUUAUCUAUCGGUUUAGCUUUGAGCGAGCAAAUGUUGCCCAUAAAGGACGACACGUGAAGUUUUCAGAAGAGAACGUUCGGUCUUUGGGAAAAACAACCACGUGCGUUGUGUAACUUGUGUUGGUAUGCAGUAAAGACGAACGCGUACGGUUGCCAAAGGCUGGAGUAGGAGACGCGGGGCUUUUACUGCAGCACUACUCAAGGUCACCCUUACCACACCGCGUCCACCAGAUACAGACGGAUAGGCUGCCGCAUAAUGCAACUCAUAACCUUGAAUUAGAUAAUAAUUUACACGAUUCAAAUAACGCAUAGCCACGGCGAGAAUAAACGCAUAGUCCAGGUGAUAUGUCCGUACGUUAAGUAUAGUUCAACAAGUAGUUCAGACACUAAACAAUCGAAGUGUUGGGCAAUUGCAUGCAUGUUCAGCGCUAGACAAACAGGAAAGUUGAUGUUGUGUUUAGAAAUGCUACGUAAGAAACUAGCUGUUUCUGGUUAGUCGUACUGUAGGCUAUUUCAAUUUCCGGUUUGUUCACAAGACAAUAAAAAAAUAAAAAAAUCCGGUUCAGGUGUGAGGGUGCAUGAGGUGGAGGUCAGUUAGAGGGUACACCCAGUCCCGGCAGCACAGGUGGCGGUGGGACUUCAGCAGCCGUUGAUGGACUCGAGGAACCUCACCUCUACCAGUCCAUCUCCGCUCAUCAAGAUUACAUCCUCUUACCGUGUUGAAAUCACCUGCUGGGAUGGAAAGUGACGGGAGGAGGAGAGACAGAAAGGGGGGAACAACGACACCGAUGAGGACGGAAGCGAUGACAAUGACAGCAGCAACGAAGAAUAGUCUUACGAAAAAGGACUGAAGACGGGCGACAACUUUGAUGAUGAAGAUGACGAAGAAUGCGACAACGAGAAAAAAGUACCGGUGGAGGUAAGUGCAUGGACCUCUGUCGAGUGCCCUGCUUGAGGCUUUCUUGGUAUGUGAGGAAAAUCUUGGCAUAUUCUGGCUUCCUCUUGGCAUGAACCUCAAAAUCAUCUGCAAAAGGUUUAGAAAGUUAAAAUCAAGUUAAAGAAGGGUGUGUUUACCUCUAUGUGUCUGGGGAGGAAUGUGUCUGUGGGGGUUGUCAGCAUCCUGUGGGGUGACAUCCUGUGGGGUCCUGUGAGCUGAGAGAGAGAGAGAGAGAGAGAGAGAGAGAGAGAGAGAGAGAGAGAGAGAGAGAGAGAGAGAGA